GGCGUGCUUAACACAUGCAAGUCGAACGGAAAGGCCCUGCUUUUGUGGGGUGCUCGAGUGGCGAACGGGUGAGUAACACGUGAGUAACCUGCCCUUGACUUUGGGAUAACUUCAGGAAACUGGGGCUAAUACCGGAUAGGAGCUCCUGCUGCAUGGUGGGGGUUGGAAAGUUUCGGCGGUUGGGGAUGGACUCGCGGCUUAUCAGCUUGUUGGUGGGGUAGUGGCUUACCAAGGCUUUGACGGGUAGCCGGCCUGAGAGGGUGACCGGCCACAUUGGGACUGAGAUACGGCCCAGACUCCUACGGGAGGCAGCAGUGGGGAAUAUUGCACAAUGGGCGGAAGCCUGAUGCAGCAACGCCGCGUGCGGGAUGACGGCCUUCGGGUUGUAAACCGCUUUCGCCUGUGACGAAGCGUGAGUGACGGUAAUGGGUAAAGAAGCACCGGCUAACUACGUGCCAGCAGCCGCGGUGAUACGUAGGGUGCGAGCGUUGUCCGGAUUUAUUGGGCGUAAAGGGCUCGUAGGUGGUUGAUCGCGUCGGAAGUGUAAUCUUGGGGCUUAACCCUGAGCGUGCUUUCGAUACGGGUUGACUUGAGGAAGGUAGGGGAGAAUGGAAUUCCUGGUGGAGCGGUGGAAUGCGCAGAUAUCAGGAGGAACACCAGUGGCGAAGGCGGUUCUCUGGGCCUUUCCUGACGCUGAGGAGCGAAAGCGUGGGGAGCGAACAGGCUUAGAUACCCUGGUAGUCCACGCUGUAAACGGUGGGUACUAGGUGUGGGGUCCAUUCCACGGGUUCCGUGCCGUAGCUAACGCUUUAAGUACCCCGCCUGGGGAGUACGGCCGCAAGGCUAAAACUCAAAGGAAUUGACGGGGCCCCGCACAAGCGGCGGAGCAUGCGGAUUAAUUCGAUGCAACGCGUAGAACCUUACCUGGGUUUGACAUGGAUCGGGAGUGCUCAGAGAUGGGUGUGCCUCUUUUGGGGUCGGUUCACAGGUGGUGCAUGGCUGUCGUCAGCUCGUGUCGUGAGAUGUUGGGUUAAGUCCCGCAACGAGCGCAACCCUUGUUCACUGUUGCCAGCACGUUAUGGUGGGGACUCAGUGGAGACCGCCGGGGUCAACUCGGAGGAAGGUGGGGAUGACGUCAAGUCAUCAUGCCCCUUAUGUCCAGGGCUUCACGCAUGCUACAAUGGCUGGUACAGAGAGUGGCGAGCCUGUGAGGGUGAGCGAAUCUCGGAAAGCCGGUCUCAGUUCGGAUUGGGGUCUGCAACUCGACCUCAUGAAGUCGGAGUCGCUAGUAAUCGCAGAUCAGCAACGCUGCGGUGAAUACGUUCCCGGGGCUUGUACACACCGCCCGUCAAGUCAUGAAAGUUGGUAACACCCGAAGCCGGUGGCCUAACCGUUGUGGGGGAGCCGUCGAAGGUGGGACUGGUGAUUAGGACUAAGUCGU
rnacentral:rRNA from 1 species